AGCAGCCGCGGUAAUUCCAGCUCCAAUAGCGUAUAUUAAAGUUGUUGCAGUUAAAAAGCUCGUAGUUGAAUUUCGGGAUUAAUUUAUUGGUCGUGCUAUUGUACGUACUGGUAUUAUUGAUUCCUACCUUCUGACGAACCAUGAUGUCAUUAAUUUGGUGUCAUGGGGAAUCAGGACUGUUACUUUGAAAAAUUAGAGUGUUUAAAGCAGGCUCACGCUUGAAUACAUUAGCAUGGAAUAACGAAAUAGGACGUUUGAUUCUAUUUUGUUGGUUUCUAGGAUCGACGUAAUGAUUAAUAGGGAUAGUUGGGGGCAUUAGUAUUCAAUUGUCAGAGGUGAAAUUCUUGGAUUUAUUGAAGACUAACUACUGCGAAAGCAUUUGCCAAGGAUGUUUUCAUUAAUCAAGAACGAAAGUUAGGGGAUCGAAGACGAUCAGAUACCGUCGUAGUC
rnacentral:rRNA from 1 species